GGUAAGAUGGCUGAGUUAUUAGGCGAUAGACUGUAAAUCUAUUUACGAGGAUUUUCUCUCUUAUCA
rnacentral:tRNA from 1 species